GCCCGUUUAGCUCAGUUGGUAGAGCAGCGCCCUUGUAAAGCGCAGGUCAUCCGUUCAAAUCGGAUAAUGGGCACCA
rnacentral:tRNA from 1 species